GGAUGCGUGGUCUAGUUGGUAAGACAACCUGGACUAACAACCGUCAAGGUCGUGGGUUCAAUUCCCACCGGUGGCA